rnacentral:rRNA from 1 species
GGGGUGACGGCGUGCCUAUCGAAAAAUGAGUCUGCGAGUCAGUGGCAUGUGGCGAGCGUAAGCCGUGUGGUGUACGCGUAGCGAAAGCGAGUCUUAAAAGGCGUGUGAGUCGCGUGUCCUGGACCCGAAGCGGGAUGAUCUAGCCCUGAGCAGGUUGAAGCGCGGGUAAGACCGCGUGGAGGACCGAACCCACCUGGGUUGAAAACCGGGGGGAUGACUUGGGGUUAGGGGUGAAAGGCCAAUCAAAUUCCGUGAUAGCUGGUUCUCUCCGAAAUGCAUUUAGGUGCAGCGUCGGUUGAGUACAUCCGGGGGGUAGAGCUACCGGAUGCUUGCGGGCCCGUACUGGGUACCAAUAGCAGCCGAACUCCGAAUACCCGUGAUGCGUAUUCCGGCAGUGAGUCGGCGGGGGAUAAGCUCCGUCGUCGAAAGGGAAACAGCCCAGAUCGUCGUCUAAGGUCCCUAAGCGUGUGCUAAGUGGGAAAGGAUGUGGAGUCGCAUAGACAGCCAGGAGGUUGGCUCAGAAGCAGCCACCCUUGAAAGAGUGCGUAACAGCUCACUGGUCUAGUGGUUCCGCGCCGACAAUGUAGCGGGGCUCAAGCACACCACCGAAGACGCGGCAGCAGCGUUUGCUGCUGGGUAGGAGAGCGUCCUAUGCGGGGCGAAGCGGCGGUGGAAACCGGCCGUGGACUGCAUGGGAGUGAGAAUGCAGACAUGAGUAGCGAGAGACGGGUGAAGAUCCCGUCCGCUGGAUGACCAAGGGUUCCGGGGCCACGUUCAUCGUCCCCGGGUGAGUCGGGUCCUAAGGCGAGGCCGACAGGCGUAGUCGAAUGGAUGAACGGGUCGAUAUUCCCGUACCGGCAUGCGACCGACAACACCGAAUCGGGGGUGCUAACCUCCCGCGUCGGGCUUACUUCUCCUUCGGGAGGGGGAUGCGCGGCGUGGUUGGGACCCUUCCCGGUAGUAGGUCAGCGCAGGAGUGACGCAGGAGGGUAGCCGGCCGCGGAGGUGGUUUUCCGUGGUCAAGCGUGUGGCCCGCAUCCCAGGCAAAUCCGGGGUGCAUGGAGGGUGAGGCGCGAUGAUGGGAACGUUUGUUCGAUAUCCGGUGAUCCCAUGCUGCCGAGAAAAGCUUCGGCGUGAGGGCGUUUGCCGCCCGUACCCCAAACCGACACUGGUGGUCAGGUAGAGAAUACCAAAGCGAUCGAGCGAAUCCUGGUCAAGGAACUCGGCAAAUCACUCCCGUGCCUUCGGUAUAAGGGAGACCCCUUGGCGUGAAAGCACUUGCUGCUGGAGCGUUGGGGGGUGGCACAGGCCAGGGGGUAGCGACUGUUUACCAAAAACACAGGAGCGUGCGAAGGCGUAAGCCGCUGUAUACGCUCUGACGCCUGCCCGGUGCCGGAAGGUUAAGAGGAUCCGUCAGCCCUUUGGGGUGAAGCGGUGAAUUCAAGCCCCGGUAAACGGCGGUGGUAACUAUAACCAUCCUAAGGUAGCGAAAUUCCUUGUCGGGUAAGUUCCGACCUGCACGAAUGGCGUAACGACUUCCCCACUGUCUCGACCAGGAGCUCGGCGAAAUUGCAGUACGAGUAAAGAUGCUCGUUAAGCGCAGAAGGACGAAAAGACCCCGGGACCUUUACUAUACCUUGGUAUUGGCAUUAGGCGCGGAUUGUGUAGCAUAGGCGGGAGACUUGGAAGCGUGGGCGCCAGCUCAUGUGGAGUCGCAAGGUGAAAUACCGCUCUGUUCUCGUUUGAUGUCUCACCACGAGCAGUCAUCCUGCUCUGGGACAGUGCCUGGCGGGUAGUUUAACUGGGGCGGUUGCCUCCCAAAGAGUAACGGAGGCGCUCAAAGGUUCCCUCAGCCCGGUUGGCAAUCGGGUGUUGAGUGUAAUCGCACAAGGGAGCUUGACUGCGAGACCGACGGGUCGAGCAGGGACGAAAGUCGGAGAUAGUGAUCCGGUGCCGGCGCACGGGCGCGGCAUCGCUCAACGGAUAAAAGGUACCCCGGGGAUAACAGGCUGAUCAUUCCCAAGAGUCCAUAUCGACGGGAUGGUUUGGCACCUCGAUGUCGGCUCGUCGCAUCCUGGGGCUGGAGCAGGUCCCAAGGGUUCGGCUGUUCGCCGAUUAAAGCGGCACGCGAGCUGGGUUCAGAACGUCGUGAGACAGUUUGGUCUCUAUCCUCUGCGCUCGUUGGAAUCUUGAGGAGGCCUGCCCAUAGUACGAGAGGACCUGGGUGGACGAACCUCUGGUAUGCCGGUCGUCACGCCAGUGGCGCGGCCGGUUGGCUACGUUCGGAAGGGAUAACCGCUGAAAGCAUCUAAGCGGGAAGCCUGCUCCAAGAUAAGGAUUCCUUCACACCUUCGGGUGUGUGUACCCCCCAUGCAGAACACGUGGUCGAUAGGCCGGACGUGGAAGCCGCGCAAGCGGUGGAGCGGACCGGUACUAACGGGGGAAGACGACCCUAC